GUGAGCUGUUGCACGGUGUAGGCCUAAGCUGCAAGAUCCCCCAGUGCGUGCGGUUGCGUUUAGAGAGUCACUUAGUAUUCACGCGCGCCUACCAUUUCCUAUAAAAAUUAAACCUGUUGAACUAUUUCAGGCACGAGUAUUAUUACAAAAUGCGUAUCCACGUUACCUUGCAACUUGUCAGCUUGCACGCACGAACACCAG